UACGUAGGGUGCAAGCGUUGCCCGGAUUUAUUGGGCGUAAAGGGCGCGUAGGCGGCUCGGCACGUCCGUUGUGAAAUCGCCCGGCUCAACUGGGCGGGGUCAGCGGAUACGGUCGAGCUUGAGCAAGCUAGGGGGCAAUGGAAUUCCCGGUGUAGUGGUGGAAUGCGUAGAUAUCGGGAGGAACACCAGUGGCGAAAGCGGCUCACUGGACCAUAACUGACGCUGAUGCACGAAAGCUGGGGGAGCAAACAGG
rnacentral:rRNA from 1 species